GUGCUCGCUUCGGCAGCACAUAUACUAAAAUUGGAACGAUACAGAGAGAUUAGCAUGGUCCCUGCGCAGGAUGACAUGCAAAUUCGUGAAGCGGUUCCAUAUUUA
rnacentral:snRNA from 1 species